AAAGCAUCCGUAGCCGGUUCUGCAAAUACCCUGUGAAAUCGUCCCGCUCAACGGGGCGGCGUGCAGGGUAGACUACAGGACUAGGGACCAGGUGAGGUGGACGGUAUUCCGUGGGGAGCGGUGAAAUGUGAUAAUCCUCGGAGGACCACCAAUGGCGAGGGGAGUUGACGGGGAUAGAUCGGACGGUNAGGGAUUAAAAGUGGGGGGGCGGUCCCGAGGAGAUACCCCACUAGUCCUAGCUGUAAACUCUGCGUGCCAGAUGUUGCGUAAUCUCCGAGAUUGCGCAGUGUCGUAACGAAGGUGUUAAGCACGCCACCUGGGAAGUACGGUCGCAAGGCUGAAACUUAAAGGAAUUGGCGGGGAGACACCACAACGGGUGCGGCGUGCGGUUUAAUCGUAUUCAACACCGAGAAUCUCACCAGGGGCGACGGCACAAUGACGCUCAGUCUGAAGGGCUUACCUGAGGAGCCGAGAGGUGGUGCAUGGCCGCCGUCAGCUCGUGCCGU
rnacentral:rRNA from 1 species